GACGAACGCUGGCGGCGUGCUUAACACAUGCAAGUCGAACGGAAAGGCCCUGCUUUUGUGGGGUGCUCGAGUGGCGAACGGGUGAGUAACACGUGAGUAACCUGCCCUUGACUUUGGGAUAACUUCAGGAAACCGGGGCUAAUACCGGAUAGGAGCUCCUGCUGCAUGGUGGGGGUUGGAAAGUUUCGGCGGUUGGGGAUGGACUCGCGGCUUAUCAGCUUGUUGGUGGGGUAGUGGCUUACCAAGGCUUUGACGGGUAGCCGGCCUGAGAGGGUGACCGGCCACAUUGGGACUGAGAUACGGCCCAGACUCCUACGGGAGGCAGCAGUGGGGAAUAUUGCACAAUGGGCGGAAGCCUGACGCAGCAACGCCGCGUGUGGGAUGACGGCCUUCGGGUUGUAAACCGCUUUCGCCUGUGACGAAGCGUGAGUGACGGUAAUGGGUAAAGAAGCACCGGCUAACUACGUG
rnacentral:rRNA from 1 species